AGGGUUUGACAUCCUGCGAACCUCUUAGAAAUUUGAGGGUGCCUUCGGGAAUGCAGUGACAGGUGGUGCAUGGCUGUCGUCAGCUCGUGUCGUGAGAUGUUGGGUUAAGUCCCGCAACGAGCGCAACCCACGUUUUUAGUUGCCAGCAUUUAGUUGGGCACUCUAGAAAGACCGCCGGUGAUAAACCGGAGGAAGGUGUGGAUGACGUCAAGUCAUCAUGCCCCUUACACCCUGGGCUACACACGUACUACAAUGCUACGGACAAAGGGCAGCAAACUCGCGAGAGCUAGCAAAUCCCAUAAACCGUGGCUCAGUUCAGAUCGUAGGCUGCAACUCGCCUACGUGAAGUAGGAAUCGCUAGUAAUCGCAGGUCAGCAUAC
rnacentral:rRNA from 1 species